AAUGUACGAACAUUUUGGUAGGGAUAUCGUGGAAAUUGUUUUUGGUGUAUUUUCUGCAAAAAUUAAAAUAAAAUUAAGAAUAGUAUCAUCAAUAAAAAUAUAUGAUUAAUUCGUGCAAAACAAUACCUAUUGUAUUAUUGAACUGGCAUCAGAAGUGUCAGACUCAUCGGAGGAGAGUUUUCUAGUUUUUUUCGGCCGUUUGGAUGGUUCAUCAAAUGCAGCACGCAUAGCAUCAAUAUCAGCAUCCGAUGAAAUAUCUGCUGAUUUCUUCUCGAUUUUCCGAGCUUCUUGAAAAGAAUCUGUCAAACAUAAUGUAACACAUAUAUACAUAAAGUGUAACUCACCAAAUGGGCCAAUCAACUGUUUGUAUGGAGUUAAACUCCAUGUAUCGUUGGGCUGUAUUUCCUUUGAUAUUGCUGUGGUGACAGUGAUACCUUUCGGUGGCCACCAAAUCACUGAAUCGCUUUCGAAGACCCAUGAGUCGGGUACAACAGAGCACCACUCGUCGCCAAUAACAACGUACCACACCUUUCAAAUAACAUUUUUAGAGCAGCAUCAAUACGUUCAUUAUCUGUACUUCUUAUAACAUGCAUAUUUUAAUACAAUAAUAUGAAAAUAAUGUGAAAAUAGUACAUAAUGUUACAAAGAUCAAGCUGUUAUUGAAUUUUCUAUUGAAAUAAUUAUAAUUUUAAUAAUAACGUAUGUACAAUAUA